rnacentral:lncRNA from 1 species
CUAUGACAUUCCCAUGCUACAUCAGAACACAACUCAAUCCUAGAUAAGAGACAUCACUAUAGACUGUAUAUCCAUCCGAUCUGCUCGGCAAGGCCAAUACAAGUACAAUAGUCAACCGUCUCUUUUAUUCUGAAAAACUCCUUUCACAGUACUCGUUCUACUCAAACUUAACGUUCUUCUUUGUAAGCCGAGUUAGAUGAAC